UGGCGAACGGGUGAGUAACGCGUGAGGAACCUGCCUCAAAGAGGGGGACGAACAGUUGGAAACGACUGCUAAUACCGCAUAAGCCCACGGGUCGGCAUCGACCAGAGGGAAAAGGAGCAAUCCGCUUUGAGAUGGCCUCGCGUCCGAUUAGCUGGUUGGUGAGGUAACAGCCCACCAAGGCGACGAUCGGUAGCCGGACUGAGAGGUUGAACGGCCACAUUGGGACUGAGACACGGCCCAGACUCCUACGGGAGGCAGCAUG
rnacentral:rRNA from 1 species